UACGAAGGACCCGAGCGUUAUCCGGAUUUAUUGGGUUUAAAGGGUGCGUAGGUGGGCAAGUAAGUCAGUGGUGAAAUCUCCGGGCUUAACCCGGAAACUGCCAUUGAUACUAUUUGUCUUGAAUACUGUGGAGGUCAGCGGAAUAUGUCAUGUAGCGGUGAAAUGCUUAGAUAUGACAUAGAACACCAAUUGCGAAGGCAGCUGGCUACACAAAUAUUGACACUGAGGCACGAAAGCGUGGGGAUCAAACAGG
rnacentral:rRNA from 1 species